GAACUUAAGCAUAUCAAUAAGCGGAGGAAAAGAAACCAACAGGGAUUGCCUCAGUAACGGCGAGUGAAGCGGCAACAGCUCAAAUUUGAAAUCUGGCCGCAAGGUCCGAGUUGUAAUUUGUAGAGGAUGCUUUUGGCGAGGUGCCUUCCGAGUUCCCUGGAACGGGACGCCAUAGAGGGUGAGAGCCCCGUACGGUAGGACCACCAAGCCUCUGUAAAGCUCCUUCGACGAGUCGAGUAGUUUGGGAAUGCUGCUCUAAAUGGGAGGUGUACGUCUUCUAAAGCUAAAUACCGGCCAGAGACCGAUAGCGCACAAGUAGAGUGAUCGAAAGAUGAAAAGCACUUUGAAAAGAGGGUUAAAAAGUACGUGAAAUUGUUGAAAGGGAAGCAUUCAUGACCAGACUUGGGCUUGGUUGAACAUCCGGCGUUCUCGCCGGUGCACUCUGCCAGUCCAGGCCAGCAUCAGUUCGCCCCGGGGGAUAAAGGCGGCGGGAAUGUGGCUCCCUUCGGGGAGUGUUAUAGCCCGUCGUGUAAUGCCCUGGGGCGGACUGAGGAACGCGCUUCGGCACGGAUGCUGGCGUAAUGGUCAUCAAUGACCCGUCUUGAAACACGGACCAAGGAGUCGUCUUCGUAUGCGAGUGUUCGGGUGUCAAACCCCUACGCGUAAUGAAAGUGAACGUAGGUGAGAGCUUCGGCGCAUCACCGACCGAUCCUGAUGUUCUCGGAUGGAUUUGAGUAAGAGCAUACGGGGCCGGACCCGAAA
rnacentral:rRNA from 1 species